AUUUCUACAGCUAUUAGAAGAAGGUAUUUCAUACUAUAUUAUAAUGAGAAUACCAUUAUUUUAAUAAAAGCAAAUAUUUUUAUGAAUUAAUAUAUAUACUUAUGUUCGCAGGACAAGUCGGUAUGAUGAAAGUGAAGUUCCUGUAUAUCCUGUCCCGGUACCAGACAUAUUCACACAAGUCGGUCGUCCAAGUGGCAAAAGUAGUGAGUUCUGGUUAACUGAGCAAGAUUAUACAUGCGCACAUGCAUAUGUUUUGCGUAAUUGUGACUAUUUUCGACCGUUUGAAAGUAUGUUGGACGCGCAAAUUCGGGAUGAAUAUCCAGAACUCUCUGAUGAUGAGGUCACCUCUAAAAGAGACGAAGAUUUUCAUUUAUGGAUUCGCCAAUACGUGGAAGCAACGAGAAGUCAUCAAAAUUUUCCUCCAUGGGUUCAUGAACUAGUGGAAGGUCCUGAAAACAAAGUCAAGUCAUGGCCCAUGUAUUUUACUAGAGGAUAUAUGUUUCACACGCGGAAUCAUGGGCGCACAAGAAAGACAAUGAAUUAUGGAGUAUGUGUUCGAGGACAAAAUUAUUCUGAAGCAUCUCACGAAGAAGAUU